rnacentral:rRNA from 1 species
GAUGAACGCUAGCGGCAGGCUUAACACAUGCAAGUCGAACGGUAACAUUGGUGCUUGCAUCAGAUGACGAGUGGCGAACGGGUGCGUAACGCGUAUGCAACUUACCUCUAAUUAAGGGAUAGCUCAGAGAAAUUUGAAUUAAUACCUUAUAAUAUCUAAGAAUCGCAUGAUUUUAAGAUUAAAGAACUUCGAUUAGAGAUGGGCAUGCGUGAUAUUAGCUAGUUGGUAGGGUAAUGGCUUACCAAGGCAACGAUAUCUAGGGGGUCUGAGAGGAUGAUCCCCCACACUGGUACUGAGACACGGACCAGACUCCUNACGGGAGGCAGCAGUGAGGAAUAUUGGUCAAUGGACGCAAGUCUGAACCAGCCAUGCCGCGUGCAGGAUGAAUGCCCUAUGGGUUGUAAACUGCUUUUAUAUAGGAAGAAACCUUUUUAUUUAUAAAAAGCUGACGGUACUAUAAGAAUAAGCAUCGCUAAC